AAACAGGAAGAUCAAAAAAAAAUUUAAAAGAAGUCACGUUUAGAGUACUGUAGGUGGUAGCAAUCUUUUCUAUUGUGAUUUUAGGAACGACCAUUUUUCAGCUUUAAAUUUAAACAAACGCAAUAUACAUCUACAAAAAUAUCAAGGAAA
ensembl:ncRNA F26F12.19 ncRNA